rnacentral:rRNA from 8 species
UUGACCUCGGAUCAGGUAGGGCUACCCGCUGAACUUAAGCAUAUCAAUAAGCGGAGGAAA